rnacentral:rRNA from 1 species
UACGGGGGGAGCAAGCGUUAUCCGGAUUCACUGGUUUAAAGGGUGCGUAGGCGGGCAGGUAAGUCCGUGGUGAAAUCUCUGAGCUUAACUCAGAAACUGCCAUGGAUACUAUUUGUCUUGAAUAUUGUGGAGGUAAGCGGAAUAUGUCAUGUAGCGGUGAAAUGCUUAGAUAUGACAUAGAACACCAAUUGCGAAGGCAGCUUACUACACAGUUAUUGACGCUGAGGCACGAAAGCGUGGGGAUCAAACAGG